GAGGGAGGCCUGGAUGGUCCUGAGCUGCCCGGCAUGGGCCAGUGUGGCUGAAACAAGUGAUAAGAAAUUUAAUUUAACUCCCUGAAUAGUGGAAAAUGGACGAGUUUUGUCGAGCUGAGUCAGGGAGGAGUGUUGUAGGAGGCGGCGCUUGAGCGGCGAGAGAGAUGCAGACUCGUUUCCUGAGCGCGGUGGAGCCGGGUCUUGACCCAGCGGCUCUGCACAGCUCGCCUCAUUCAAGGCAGGUUUUGGUCCCAGCUGUUCCACUAAUUAGCACAUGACCCCGGCAGGCAGCAUGACCUCCUUGACCUCUGUCCUGUAGGACCCCUGCAGGCUCCGUGCAAAUUCAGUUAGAAUGACUCACCAUUCUCCCAAGUAAAUGGUAUUUUUCACUUUUUGGCAAAACCGUUUUCUCUUGUACAGUCAGAGCUGUCAGCCCACACAAAAGAGGAAAGUCUGAGGCUUUAGUUUGAUGAACACAUUUAUAUGAUGGGACGAACAUCAGAGCCCGCAGCUCUCGGCCCUGCUGGUGGCAGAGGCUUUGUACUGUGUGACAAUGACCUGGAUAUGGAAGCAGAAGGGAGCUUCUAAGGACCGGAAGCUGAGAGUCUGUCUCCUGUCCCGGCCCGGACACUGGGGUUCAGGGAAGUGUGCUCUGCCCCCUGUGUGGAUGCCUGUGUCCUGUGUGUGGCUGGAGUAGGACUUGGCUUGUGGGUGAUCACAGAGACGGAGACUGAGAAGCAGAUCGAUCCUAGCUUUGCUACUGACAAAAAGCAUGGGAACCAGAGCCUCAGUGUCUGCAGGAGUUGCUGGCUGUUUCCUGAUGCAGUUGGAGCAGAAUGGGAUGUCCUGGGACAACAGAGAUGUUUACCCAUCUUGACUAGUGUGGUCAUCUGAAGAAUGGCCUCCAAAGACAUCCUGAGAACCUGGGAAUGUUGCAUGGAUGAAGGAAUUUGCAAAAGUGAUUAAGUUAAGGAGCUUGAAAUUUGUGGAUCAUGCUGGGUUACCCCAGUGAGCUCUAAAUGUAAUCACAUGUGUCUUUAUGAAAGGGAGGCAGAGGGAGAUUUGCAGACAGAUGAGGAGGAAGAUGAGAAAACAAUGGACACAAGAAAGAAAAGGUGAUGCAGUUCAGGGACCCAAGCCAAUAAAUGAGGUGACCUCCAGAUGCUGGAGAAGGGAAGGAAGCAGAUGGACUCUAGAGCCCCCAAAAGAAGCAGGGCUCUGCCAUCACCUUGAUUUUGUCCCAAUGAAACCCAUUGGUCAUUUAGCUGCCAGAACUGUGUAAGCAUAAAUGUGUGUUCGUUUAAGCCAUGAAAUUUGCAGUAAUUUGUUAAAGCUGCCAUGGGAAACUAACACAACUGGAGUGGUAGUUCCGUGAAUGCAUGCAUUCACCAAACCUUAACAUGUACUCUUCGGAUACUGGCAUGAUAGGUCCAUGAAUGCAUAUGUUCACCCACACACUAAUAUAUACCCUUCAAAUACUGGUAUGAUAGUUCUAUGAAUGCAUGUGUUCACCACACACUAACAUGUACCCUUCAGAUACGGGCAUGGUAGUGCCCUGAAUACACGUGUUCACCAAACCCCAACAUGUACCCUUCAGAUACUGGCAUGAUAGUUCCAUGAAUCCAUGUGUUCACCAAAUCCCAACAUGUACUCUUCAGAUAUGGACAUGGUAGUUCCAUGAAUACAUGUUUUCACCAAAAACCAACAUGUACCCUUCAGAUACUGGUAUGAUAGUUCCAUGAAUGCAUAUGUUCACCAAACUAAAAUAUGUACCUGAUAUGGUUUGGCUGUGUCCCCACCCAAAUCUCAUCUUGAAUUGUAGCUCCCAUAAUCCUCACAUGUUGUGGGAGGGUCCUGGUGGGAGGUAAUUGAAUCACAGGGGUGGAUUUUUCCUGUGCUGUUCUCAUGAUAGUAAGUCUCACCAGAUCCGAUGGUUUUAUAAAGGGCAGUUCCCCUGAACAUGCUCUCUUGCCUGCUGUAAUGUAAGACAUGCUUUUGCUCUUCCUUCACCUUCUUGCCAUGAUUGUGAGGCAUAGCCAGCCAUGUUGAACUGUAAGUCAAUUAAACCUCUUUCCUUUAUAAAUUACCCAGUCUCAGGUAUUUCUUCACAGCAGUAUGAAAAUGGACUAAUACAGUAAAUUGGUACCGGGAGUGGGGUGCUGCUGUAAAGAUACCCAAAAAUGUGGAAGUGACUUU
rnacentral:lncRNA from 1 species